UAAUUCAAAAAAAAUAAUGACGUUCAUUUUAAUGACGAUAACGCCACUAACUAAACCCUAAAUCUUAAAUUCUAAACCCUAAACCUUAAAUCUAAACCCUAAACCCUAAAUUCUAAACUCAAACUCUAAACCCUAAACUCAAACCCUAUAUCUUAAACCCAAAUCCUAAACUCAAACCGUAAACUAUAAACCCAAACCCUACGCCU
rnacentral:lncRNA from 1 species